rnacentral:rRNA from 1 species
CAGGCCUCACACAUGCAAGUCGAGCGAGAAAGGGGAAACCCCUGGUAAAGCGGCGCACGGGUGAGUCACACGUAGGUAAUUUACCCCUUAGGUGGUGGAUCACCUUCCGAAAGGAGGGCUAAUACAGCAUCAGACCACGUCUUCGCAAGGAGAUGAGGUCAAAGCCGGCCUCUUCAUGAAAGCUGGCGCCGAGGGAUGAGCCUGCGGCCCAUCACGGUAGUUGGUAGGGUAAUGGCCUCCCAAGCCUAAGACGGGUAGCUGGUCUGAGAGGAUGAUCAGCCACACUGGAACUGAGACACGGUCCAGACUCCUACGGGAGGCAGCAGUGGGGAAUCUUGCGCAAUGGGCGAAAGCCUGACGCAGCGACGCCGCGUGAGUGAUGAAGGCCUUCGGGUUGUAAAGCUCUGUGGGGAGGGACGAAUAAGUGCUGGCUAACAUCCAGCGCGAUGACGGUACCUCUUUAGCAAGCACCGGCUAACUCUGUGCCAGCAGCCGCGGUAAU